UACGUAGGGUGCAAGCGUUAAUCGGAAUUACUGGGCGUAAAGCGUGCGCAGGCGGUUUUGUAAGUCUGUCGUGAAAUCCCCGGGCUCAACCUGGGAAGUGCGAUGGAGACUGCAAGGCUAGAAUCUGGCAGAGGGGGGUAGAAUUCCACGUGUAGCAGUGAAAUGCGUAGAGAUGUGGAGGAACACCGAUGGCGAAGGCAGCCCCCUGGGUCAAGAUUGACGCUCAUGCACGAAAGCGUGGGGAGCAAACAGG
rnacentral:rRNA from 1 species